rnacentral:lncRNA from 1 species
AUUAUUAUCCUCACACCCACAAGAAGGUUCAAGAUAAACACAUAUUACACCACAAUGAAAAUAUGUUUAUAAACAUGCAGAUACAUUGAACGCAAGUUGACGAACAAAUUAACCUAGAGGAAGCAUAGUUUUGACCAUCUUAACAACCAUCUAGAACACACAAGUCACAAAAAGAUAAGGACUAUUGGUUACUAUGAGAGACUUCAGAUGGUCCAGAAGACACAAGUUUGUAUCUACAUGCAAAAAGUGCAAGCUCCAAAACACUCGAAACACCAAAUGGUCUACAAGACAAUAAGGUCCAUGAUUACAGGUUGGUUGGUCCAUAAACGCUAGAGAGUCAUCAUGUCCAUGUGCA